GAGCGCGAAUGGAUCAUCCUAGUAGAUCGGCGCACGGGUGAGUACACGUGGGUAAUCUGCCUGGAAGAUCGGGAUAACCUGCCGAAAGGCAAGCUAAUGACGGAUAAGCCCACGGAGUCUUCGGACUCCGACUGGAAAAGAUGGCCUCUGCAUGCAAGCUAUCACUUCCAGAUGAGCCCGCGGCCCAUCAGCUAGUUGGCGGGGUAAUGGCCCACCAAGGCUACGACGGGUAUCUGGUCUGAGAGGACGAUCAGCCACUCUGGAACUGAGACACGGUCCAGACUCCUACGGGAGGCAGCAGUGGGGAAUUUUGCGCAAUGGGCGAAAGCCUGACGCAUCAACGCCGUGUGUGUGAUGAAUGUCUUCGGAUCGUAAAGCACUUUCGACCGGGACGAAAACCCGUUGGCUAAUAUCCAACGGCUUGACGGUAUCGGGAGAAGAAGCACCGGCUAACUCUGUGCCAUCAGCCGCGGUAAU
rnacentral:rRNA from 1 species